ensembl:rRNA 5S_rRNA 5S ribosomal RNA
GUCUAUGGCCAUUCUGUCCCAAACAAGCCCGAUUAUGUCUGAUCUCGGAAGCUAAGCAGGGUUGGGCUUGGCUCGUACUUGGAUGGGAGACCACCUAGGAAGACCAAGUGCUGUAAGUG